rnacentral:tRNA from 1 species
AGGUCUAAUGGCGAAAUGGUAUCGCGCUUGACUACGAAUCAAGCGAUUCUGGGUUCGAAUCCCAGUUAGACCUU